rnacentral:lncRNA from 1 species
AACUCUUCCCCACCGCAGCCAAUCAAAGGGGCGCUGCCGAAGCUGGGCUGCUCCUGUGAUAAAAGUGUAGGAAGCUCAUGGCUGCAGAGUAAUGCAGACAAAGCAGGAGUGAGAGGCAGACAAAAAGAAAGGAGCCUCAGAGGAUGUAAUCCACCCUGUUAAAGGAAACGCUGUAACCUCUACAGCUGUGUUUAUGCUGCUUCAUGCAAUAGGCACCAGCCUCUCAUCCCUCGGGAGAUUUUUUACAGCAUUAAUUCAUUCUGCACGAACCCAGCCAGCAAGGCUCCUCUUCAGCAGCGAGCUUUUCCAUCCCUCCAUCUCCCCCCGUCUCCGAGAGCCCUGCCAGCAGGAACUGCACCCCUCCAGCUGACCUUCCACCGCUCUGGAUCAAAUGUCUCCUGUACCCAAUGAAGCAGACCCCGAAGUGCCACGAAUGGACCCCAGGAUUCUUAUUUUCCUCCUGUAUGUGAUGAUCCUCCAUGAGCUGGUCAGUGGCUGGAUGGAGUACCAAAAGCAAGUAGCCAAGCCGAAGAAGCAAGCGGGUCCGGUCUGGUCUUCUAGUGCUUCCAGAUCAAACCACUCCAGCUUCUCCAGGCCUCUGGUCCACUCUGUGCGCCGGGAGCGGUACAGGGACUGGAGAAAACCAGGAAGAAUCAUCCGGAAGGCAUGAGGAUGCAUCUGAGGUCUGUCAGGAGCUUGGAGAGUCCUUACUGAGCCAGAUGCAACCAUCCCUCACGAGGUCUGCGCCGACUCGUCGCCUUGCAGCAGCCAGCGUGAGAGCAUCUUCCAGGCACCGUGAUCGGCACCUGCAACUUUCUGCUUUUCGCUGAGCCUGGCACGACUGAAAAGGAAUGAGCCCCUUCCUCCUCCUGGGAUCCUGGUGCUGUGCGUUGGGGAGCCAGGGUGGAGACACCCCCAGCCAGCAGCAGGCUUGCCUAAGGUGGGAUGAGGUUUUUGCCACGACACAGAGAAGUGGCUUUUCUUUCUUCUUUCCAAAGGGUCAAGUAGAUAGAAAGUAGAUUUCUCUUGAGAAGAAUGAAAUUUGCUACGACAUGGGUAACCCUUGGAAGCCUUCGGAUGGUUUCAGUCUCCUCUUGCUUCCACUCGAGGACUGCACAGCGGGCAAGCAGCAUUUCCAAAAGUGACUGGAGAUCUUUGGUGCUCAACUGGUGACCACUCCCAGGAGCUCGUUCCCAGGAGAACUUGCCUCCACUUGAGCACCCAAAAGUCAUGACACUCUUCACUUUGGAAAUGCUGGCUUCCUGUUAAGUCUCAUCCGCUGGGAGACUGUAACUUUCUUCUGCUUUUCUUCACCAUUGUUAUAUUAGUUACACUGGAGUGGAAUGGGAAAAGUGCCCUGAACCAGUGACUCAGAGUUAUGCCACUGAAUGCAAUUUACUACAAUGAUCUCGUAAUUAGAUUAUUUUGGAACAAUCCCAACAGUGGAGCCAAAUAUAAUAGCAACUUUCUAAUGAGCAGAUAGAUAGGAACGGAAUACACUGUGGCUCUUUUAUUAGAGUCUGUGAUUUAAGCGUAAGAUUAGACUUCAGAGGCAAAAGUCAGUUCCUACAUCCUG